UACGUAGGGGGCAAGCGUUGUUCGGAAUCAUUGGGCGUAAAGCGCGCGUAGGCGGCCCGGUAAGUCCGUUGUGAAAGUCAAAGGCUCAACCUUUGAACGCCGAUGGAUACUGCCGGGCUAGAGUCCGGAAGAGGCGAGUGGAAUUCCUGGUGUAGCGGUGGAAUGCGCAGAUAUCAGGAGGGACACCAAUAGCGAAGGCAGCUCGCUGGGACGGUACUGACGCUGAGGCGCGAAAGCUAGGGUAGCAAACGGG
rnacentral:rRNA from 1 species